CGCGCAGGCGGUUGUUUAAGUCGAAUGUGAAAGCCCCCGGCUCAACUGGGGAGGGUCAUUCGAUACUGAUCGACUUGAAGGCAGGAGAGGGUAGUGGAAUUCCCGGUGUAGUGGUGAAAUGCGUAGAUAUCGGGAGGAACACCAGUGGCGAAGGCGACUACCUGGCCUGUUCUUGACGCGAGGCGCGAAAGCUGGGGGAGCAAACG
rnacentral:rRNA from 1 species